UUUCCGUAGGUGAACCUGCGGAAGGAUCAUUAUUGGAUUUUGAAACUUCAGGCUGCUGCUGGCUCUCCUCGGAGGGCAUGUGCACGCUUGUUGUCCAUUAUUUCUCCCACUGUGCACAAAUUGUAGACCUUUCAGUAGGCCUAUGUUGUUUUUCACAAUCUCUGAAUGUAAUAGAAUGGUUUUGAAUCUUGGGAAAUACAAUACAACUUUCAGCAACGGAUCUCUUGGCUCCCGCAUCGAUAAAGAACGCAGC
rnacentral:misc_RNA from 1 species